CAACCUCUUUGUGCAUGACCAAACUAGUUACAUAUGUGAAUCCAGCCACAAGUGAGUUGUGUGAUUUGGAAUUCAAAUGGCAACUUCCAGCACUCAAAACCAUUCCCCUUCCAAUCCAAGAUAAAAAUACUAUUGGUCCUUUGGACCUGUUAAAUUGAAAUAAUAACAAAGGUUUCCUUUCCCUGUCCUCAGAAAUUAUUAUCUUUGAUCUUCCAUGAGGCAUUAUGGAUAUUUCUAUCUCAUGUAUGUCUUAACUUGUAUAUUUGUACUUCUAUCAAAAGUUUCCUGGUUCAGGUUUACUGCUUCUGCAAUUCAGUGAACUAUUUAUUUCGAUGAUAUUUCCUUCACCAUUAUAUUGUAUUGAAGCAGAUCAAGCUUGAUGCAUUGAAAGAAAGAGCUGGGCGAGAGAUCCGUGUUUUUGAAACAUAUGUUUCCUCAUCAUCAAAUUCUGCAUUAUCCAAUGAAGAGGUGACUGAUGACUUCUAUGAGUUUACUGCUGAAGAUUAUCACAGACUUUUGGCAG